AUGAUUUCAGGUAUCAUGAUACUUUCUAGGUAGCAUGAUAUUUACGGAAAAUGGCUUAAGUGGGCAAGGGAACAUGGAGAUGAGUUUUGUGUUUGAUUCCUUGAUUUGAUUUUGUUUCAGACUGAUUUUUUAGUUGUUUUCCAAGUAAUGAAUGUGGAGGCAAAUCAGUUCAGUUCAGUGUCCUUCAUAAGCACCAACCUCGUUUCAAAGGCAGGAGAUCACUUUCAGAUUAUUUAUACGAUAUUCUUAUACAAGUUUCAGCUUUAAGAUGAGCACGAUCUCAAAUUGCAAACUGUAAAAUACAAGUCUCAUGUGGUUCCAUUUGUCUCGCAAUUCACUUACAUCUGAUUUUUAGAUUUGAUGCCAUUUGUAUGCCACUAGUCUUAUUUUAUACGCCUCUACCUAUAACUCACCCAGGAGUUUUUGGAGGGCUGCAAUAUUAUGAACAUUUGAUAUGUGUAACUUCUGCCAAAAUGCUGAACUUGAUGUUUAGAGUGUGCAUCGUUGUAGUGACUAGUAUAUUGUUUGUGACUAGGUGAAUCACGUAAGUAUAAUCUAAAUUAGGCUUGCCUUUACUAAUACUUUAACACAUUAAAUUGUAGUAUAAUAUUGUACUCCAUGAAUUUAUGAUGCAUCAGUGAUGUGAAAUCAGGGUUUGAGAAGCUGGAGCUCUUAAGCAAGGUGACUGCAUAGUGUUUGUCAAAGCUGUCAGUGUGAAUACAUUUGGCCUCAGUGGUGGAUAAAUUCUACAGAUGAUCAAAAACCUGCAUGUAGCCUGCGAGCUCCUAGUGAUGUGAAUGAUAACUUUAGACACAAAAUGAUUUCUUAUUCAUGUCUGAUCCACAACUUUCACCAUAUUCUCCUUCAUUUCAGGCCAUCGAAUCUUCUCCUGGACCAAAGUAACAUUGACAUUUCAGCUUUCCGCACGACAGGUGAUUGGCUCAAUGGUUUUCGAACAGGACAGUGCAAAGGCAUUUUCACAGGUGUGGAGUACAGUUCCUGUGAUACAAUAGCCAAGAUUUCCACCGAUGAUAUGAAGAAAAUUGGUGUUACAGUUGUGGGGCCUCAAAAGAAGAUCGUUAGCAGUAUCAAAACUCUAGAAACUCAUACGAAGAACAGCCCUGUUCCUGUGUAAGGUACCAAAAUGAUGUUGCUGAGGACAGAAAAAAGAAAAGUCGCAUCAAAGAGCAAAAGCGAUGUCUGAUAAACGGCACAGUUUAAAGGAGUUCUUUGCAGCAGUUUUGGAAACAUAAUGGUUGAAAUUUCAAACCCACUGAGACACUCAAAUACUGAGUAUAAAUGCCUUAAAAAUAGGAGCGAACUUGUUUUCUAUCUGUUAAUCCUGAAGGGUGGGUGCUCUUAACUGACUGUUAAUGCAGAUAGUAAAUUUCAAAAGAAAAAAAAAAUAUGUAAAAAAUCCUUCCAAGUAAAAAACAGUGAUACUAAAACCUAGAGCCAUUUGAAUAUUAAGUGACUGAAUAACAUGAAAAACCCAAGGACAUAAAAGCUGUGUAUUUGAUCUAUACAGCAAACAAGAAGAAAGAAAGACUUACAGUAUUUUUAUACAGAAGAGAUCUGUAACAGGUAUUUUAUUUCUUUAAAAGCAAGGAAAAUAGAGGACUAUACCUCACAAUCUGUCUGGCCAUAUUUACUAUAAUGUCAUUGUAACAUGCUAUUUGAACUUCAGAAAGGAAUACAGAAAUAAAAUUUGUAGUGACUGGGUUAGUUGGCAAAAGAUUUUCACCAUUAUGUUAGCUUCCUUAAUUGUGUUCGUUUAAAUAGAAAAAAAGUCUUAAUUCUUAAAAGACUUAUUUAUUUCCUUUCUUGUUUAUUUUUUUUCCCCAUUAUUGUUUAUAUUUAUGCUUAAAUACCUUAACCUGGCUGCAUUAUUGACAAGUGCCAAAUGUUAUCAAAACUUCAUUGGUUUAACCUGACAAAUCAUGUGAGGUUUAAUUACUUGAUUAUUUUACACUCGCAACAUCAUAUACAAAGUAUAGAAGGAAAGAAAGGUGGUCUUUUUUGUAGCUCCGACCCUAGGCAAAGCAUCAGGACUUGCUGAGAUUUCUUUCCUUUGCAGUGAAUGAUAUUUUAAUCUGGGCUUGAAUUCUGGCGGAAUUGCAUGCCCAUUGAUCUCCGGAUCAGUACCUGGCCUGGCCAACCAUAUGUAUUUCCUUUGCUUCCCUAAGGCCUGAUUUCAUGUCACAAAGGUCUGCUGUCUUCAGAUGCUGUUCAGGUGGGAGAAUUACCUAGCAAUUGUAAGAGUGUAUCCUGCUCUGAUAGUGCUUUUUGAGCUUGCUGAGGAAUUCUGCAUUUCUGUCUUCCAUCUCAUGGGCUCCCAGUGCUGGUAACUGGGAGUUGUACUACCAUGUAGGCAGCCAAGGAUAGUUGAAGAAGAUGAGUUAAGCUUCUGCAGUAGGAGUUUGGCUUGUCAUUUUGAUUAAUUCUGAUCCAGAAGACCUCUGUCCAGAUGCUGUGAUUCUUCAGGAGCCUUGCUUUUGGUUCAGGUUCCAUGCGCACCUGUGUUUGCCACUCCACAUGGCUGGAGCCACCUCAGUCUUGACAGGGCUGAAAAUUAAUUUUGUGGCAAUGUGAGAGUCCAGAAAACACAGCACUCGCAAGGGUGUGUUUUGGUAGAUGUCCCAGUGUAACCAAAACCACCAGGCUCCAUCCAAAAGGUAUUUAGGAAUGGUUCUUCCUUCUGCAAGGUGAGUUGGGGUAAAGCCAGCUGUACUGUUUUAGAAGAUGAUAAGCUGUGCUUGGUCCCUUGAAAGAAAUCAGAAGGGAGCCUAUCUUCAAGAGACCAUUCACAUUUUUCAGUAGAAAAAGGAACAUAAAGGAGGGGAUUUGAGUCUUCCUACAUCUUCAGCAUCUUCCCUUUAGUGAGCUCUUAAGCUCCUGUUUAUGUUAGUCCUGGUCCUGAACAGACACAGCUCUUUCCUCUGAAAAUGGGGGGUUUUAAGUCACUGUGUGAGGCAUUUCUAGUGCUGCAUACAGGCCAGUUUCUUCGUGCCCCCCUGGAUUUCCAACUUGCCAUUUUUAAACUUAAAUCUGAUUCUAAUGAGUAACAGUGAGUCAUUGGCAGUCCAAGACUGUAGGCGAGGCAGUUGGGUGCAUAGCAUGCCACCUUCUGUUGUGCAGUCAAGUUUGUCAUCCUUUCUUUGCAGUGUUGGUCUGGUUGUUGAAGGUCCUUGUAGCACAGGGCACAUAAAUAUGAGGGAAAAAAUCGGUUCCUGGGAUUUGUGUGGCUGAACCAGUUUCCAAAUUGUUUUUAUUGGGUCCAAGACUUUUCAGAUGCAGAGCAACAGCAUUUAUUACACAUUAAUAAAUAGAAGCAGAGUUAGGGGUAAUGAACAUUCUGUAAAGGAUUGCAUUUGAAAUGCACUCACGGGAUAAGAAUGUCUUCUGAAAGAAAAAAUGAAGGAGUUUUAAAGUAAGUCAAAAUAAAAAAUGAAAAGUGGAAGAAAAAAUGAAAAGGAAGCACUUAUGAUGCAAAAACACUUCUUAUGUACUACAAUCUAUUGUGAAAUACAGCAUGCUAACUACAAAAGCCGUUUUUUCAGUUGCUUAGUUCAUCCAGAAUCUUUCUUUUGCUCAGUUUGAGAUUGCUCUGUCAGACACUGUUGGUGAAUUUAAAAGUUCACCAAAAUCCAUUUGCAGACAAUGUGUGUGGGGACAGCGUUUUACAACAUGUUCCUCCUGUUUUUCUUCAGCUUCAUUCUGGAGACUAGAGGUGAGUGGGCUGAGGGGGGAAUAGAUCCCGAAAUGCUCCUGAAAACACAGAGCUGGUUCAUAGAGUUUUAGAUUACAAGGAAAACUUUGCACCAACCACUCUCAGUCUUCUCAUAGUACUGUGUCAUGGUCCUUGCCCACUGUUAGAGCAUGCUCAGUGUAAGAAAUUAAAUCUUACUGAUGCUUGAGAAAAAAGAAACUCAAUUUUGCUUUUCUUUGCUAUGAGGAGUAUAGUGUUUUAAACUACACUUAGAUUUUUUCUCCCUGUCAAAUGUUGAUUUGUACUGUAAGUGGCCUCUUUUGCAAGCAUCCUAUACUCCCUAUCCCCAUGUACAUAUGUAAACAUAGCAGUGUACAAUUCUUCAUUGUGGAGUAGAGAUACUAGAAUUUGUGUGGCCAUCUUCCUGUACAGGACUUGCAUUCAUUAUUGACAUCAAGCAAAAUGCAACAGCUCAUAAAAUGUCGUACCAUAUUAUUGGGUUUGUAUCUUUAAAUAUAGUUUCCAUUUUAUUUAUUUCUGUUAACAUAUCUAGUUUUGUGCUGUUACUUAGCGUUCAAUAAGCAAUGUAUAGAUGUGAUUUGAUUGGCAAUAUGUAUUUACUUUAACUUGUAUUUUCAAAGCAUUACUUACUCAUUUAGUUUAUAUAUUGUGCAAUUGUAGAUGGCCUCUUACUAAUGUAAAAUGAUUUGUAGUGGAAACAUUUAUAUUUUUAUAAUAAACAUAAUGAAAGUAUUUUUUACAUACUGGAAUACUGAGGUGAUUGCUUGGAAGACAAAGUAAAUUUAUUUGAUUAGAAAAGUGUGAUAAAAUUGUAAUUAAAUAUGGAUACAUUCUGAGUGUUAAAGCAUGGGUUCGGAGUGAAAGCUAGAUAUUGCCUAUAUUAUCUGUUAAAAGAAACAAGUAGUGCAGGCUCUAAAUAGACAGACAAGCAUUUGUGCUAAACGUCUUACAUCAAUCAAAGACUUUACUUUCUCCAUGGAUACAGGAAAACAUCGUCUACUACAGCCUGCCUAUGGGAUACUGAAAAAGUUGUCAUUUAUUUUAGUUGUGUCAACUAUUUCCAAACUUCUGCAUUUUUUCUUCCCUUGCCAGUGGACCUCUUUUCAUCUUAUAUCUAUGUUGAAUCCAGUAUAAGAUGUAAUUUUCAACAAAAUAAAAAGCCCACCACUUACAGUA